rnacentral:rRNA from 1 species
CCUACGGGAGGCAGCAGUGGGGAAUAUUGCACAAUGGGCGCAGGCCUGAUGCAGCCAUGCCGCGUGUGUGAAGAAGGCCUUCGGGUUGUAAAGCACUUUCAGCGGGGAGGAAGGCGUUAAGGUUAAUAACCUUGGCGAUUGACGUUACCCGCAGAAGAAGCACCGGCUAACUCCGUGCCAGCAGCCGCGGUAAUACGGAGGGUGCAAGCGUUAAUCGGAAUUACUGGGCGUAAAGCGCACGCAGGCGGUCUGUCAAGUCGGAUGUGAAAUCCCCGGGCUCAACCUGGGAACUGCAUUCGAAACUGGCAGGCUAGAGUCUUGUAGAGGGGGGUAGAAUUCCAGGUGUAGCGGUGAAAUGCGUAGAGAUCUGGAGGAAUACCGGUGGCGAAGGCGGCCCCCUGGACAAAGACUGACGCUCAGGUGCGAAAGCGUGGGGAGCAAACAGGAUUAGAUACCCGAGUAGUC